GACGAACGCUGGCGGCGUGCUUAACACAUGCAAGUCGAGCGGUAAGGCCCUUUCGGGGGUACACGAGCGGCGAACGGGUGAGUAACACGUGGGUGACCUGCCCUCAGCUCUGGGAUAAGCCUGGGAAACCGGGUCUAAUACUGGAUAUGACUCCAUGACGCAUGUUGUGGGGUGGAAAGCCUUGUGCGGCUGAGGAUGGGCCCGCGGCCUAUCAGCUUGUUGGUGGGGGAUGGCCUACCAAGGCGACGACGGGUAGCCGGCCUGAGAGGGCGACCGGCCACACUGGGACUGAGACACGGCCCAGACUCCUACGGGGGGC
rnacentral:rRNA from 1 species